rnacentral:rRNA from 1 species
UACGUAGGGGGCAAGCGUUGUCCGGAAUCAUUGGGCGUAAAGAGCGUGUAGGCGGCCCGGUAAGUCCGCUGUAAAAGUCAAAGGCUCAACCUUUGAAUGUCAGUGGAUACUGCCGGGCUAGAGUCCGGAAGAGGCGAGUGGAACUCCUGGUGUAGCGGUGGAAUGCGCAGAUAUCAGGAAGAACGCCCGUGGCGAAGGCGGCUCUCUGGAACGCAACUGACGCUGAGACGCGAAAGCGUGGGGAGCAAACAGG